rnacentral:rRNA from 1 species
AUUGAACGCUGGCGGCAUGCCUUACACAUGCAAGUCGAACGGCAGCACGGGGCAACCUGGUGGCGAGUGGCGAACGGGUGAGUAAUGCAUCGGAACGUGCCAUUGAGUGGGGGAUAACGUAGCGAAAGUUGCGCUAAUACCGCAUAUUCUGUGAGCAGGAAAGCAGGGGACCGCAAGGCCUUGAGCUCUUUGAGCGGCCGAUGUCAGAUUAGCUAGUUGGUGAGGUAACGGCUUACCAAGGCGACGAUCUGUAGCGGGUCUGAGAGGAUGAUCCGCCACACUGGAACUGAGACACGGUCCAGACUCCUACGGGAGGCAGCAGUGGGGAAUUUUGGACAAUGGGCGCAAGCCUGAUCCAGCCAUGCCGCGUGAGUGAAGAAGGCCUCGGUGUAAG